CUCUAACAGAAAAUAAACAAGCACCGAGAGGCGUGAAUAGCCCUGGAUUGGACUGUCUCACUUGUCAUUAAAAAAGAAAAAAAAAGCCGAAUAAAGGAGUCUGUAUUGGAGGCUGUGCUCUCUCGGAGGAGCUCCAUUUCCGUUUAAUCACCUUCCUGAUUGAAGGACGUGGUGAAAUCUGGCCUGUCAGAGGAAUAAUUCAAAGGUAAACUGCUGUGGACGUGAGUGUGUGCAUUUAUUACUCCCAUCAAGUGCUGGGGACCGACUAUACCAUAAAAAUUUCCAUAGGAAGGAAUAACACUUAUAAGAAAAUCAGUCUUCAUUGCCCCUGAAACACAGUAAUCGGGGACAAAAAGGGCAACCUGCUCUCAUAUAGAAACUACAAAUAAGCCCACUCUAAUCAUCUAUUCUUCCGCAAACACAAAGCUGCCUCCAUUUGUGGCAUGUGGUAAUCAGACACUGAAACACCCAUGUAAAGUCCUCACAAAUGCUCCCACAGCCAUAGGAUCUGUGCAGUAAGCAUUAGUUCACUAUAACUGCAACACCUGGGAGUCAGACUUGAGCUGAUUGGGGCCGUGAGAGCUGCAUAUUUCGGACAGAGCACCACUAGAUUCAUCAUUAGUCAUGUUCACUCUGUAAUUAGGCCCUACGGAGGCUCUUGGUUGGCUGAUUUCUGUGCUCCCUUCAGUGCACUGUUCCCUGCCGCCUGCUGAGAGACUCUCCUCUGUUCCCACCCGCAGCCAGCCGCUUCCUAUAGCUGUGGCAGGAGUGUAAUUAUGCCUGUAUGAACCCUCUCAGUGGGGUGUGUGUGUGGGGUGUGUGUGUGUGUGUGUGCAGUGGUACCACACACACCUGCCCUGCAGCACGAUGCGGAGGGUCCAACAGCAGUAGUGUAGCCCACAGCAACAAGAAAAGAUGCUAAAAGCUGCAAGUACAGUUUGGUCAAGUACUUUAAUCACGUUGGUGGCCAAUGACUCGAGUUUGUCACCAUUUCAGUCAGGUUUUUUGCAAAAAUGACAGUGCUGUUACUGCUGCCAUGAAGGUCAUAAAUGAUAAUCAUAACUGAAGCUCUCGAGAAGGACCGAUGCUGUUUGCCCCUUUUUAUCGGCUUUUCAAAGGCAUUUGACACUGUUGACCACGUUGCUUUAAUCAAAUGUCUUUGGGCUAUAGGUCUUUCUCAGCAAGCAGUUGGGUGGUUUGCAAAUUAUCUUGCAAGCAGAACCCAGGCUGUUCAGAUAGAAGUAUUGCAAGUGAAAAAGGGCGUCCCUCAAGGUUCUGUGCUGGGUUCAUUAUUAUUCACUAUUUACAUAAAUAAUAUCAGACAGAAUAUUCCAAACUCAACUUUUUAUUUCUACGCUCGUGACAUUGUCAGAUACUGAGAGGCCUUUCAGUGUUUACAACUUGCAUUUGAUAGAGUACAGGAAGAUCUUUUAAAUGCAAAUAAAACAAAAUGCAUGUCCUUUACUACCUCAAAAAUUUUGAGAUCAGCAUUGUCUGGAAAAAAUUAACAGGAAAUGGUCAACAAAUAGGGUUUAAUAUGCUAAUUUGUGCAAAUAUAACAUUCAUUCUGCCAAAUGGAACAAUGUGUGUAAACCUGAGCCAUAAUUCUGAACACAGUUGUGGCUUGUGACUUUAGAUUCAGUGCGACUCACACCAUUACAAAUAAAUGUCGAUAAAUCCCAUAGAAAUCACAGAAGUUGUCGCAAUUAUAACGUUUUAAUUAAUCACAUUAGUGUUAGUUCUCAGUGGAUCCUAUGGAACAUAGGAUCUAUAUUUUUUAUAUCUGAUUGCACCUUGACUUUUACUAUUAUUAUUAUUAUUAUUAUUAUUAUCUUUAUCUUUUUUACUUACUAUUCUAUUUGUACUUGCACCAAGAGCACCAGAGAAAAUUCCUUGCAAGUGUAAAAACCUACUUGGCAAUAAAACUGAUUCUGAUAACAAAUAGGAAGUGUAAAUAAUGAAUGUGUCGUUCUUAAUUGUCUUUUAUGUAAACAAACAGGUUGAAAAAUAACCAGCUAGAGAGCUGAAUCCAUUGAAUCUGUUGCACUUUCUUCCUGUUUCUUCUUUUAAAGACAAAGAAGCCUCAUUUGUUCAGAUAAAUAACAAUUUUUAAUAUUUAAUAUUAACUCUAAAUGUAAUUGAAAUAUUCUGAUAUCUAUCAGUCUGUCUGUGUGUCUUUUUAUCGAGAGAGAUGUGAAUAAUUCCAGUCUGAGAAAUAGAUGAAAAGAUAAAGUUCCACCACAUAGCAUGUAGUAUUGUUCAGUCAAGCUUUAGUGGAGUAAAAAUAUAUUCAGAUAUAGUUAUUAUAUGCCUUUAAAAUUAGUAAUAAAGUCUUAGAAACAUGCAUUUUUCUAACAAAAAAAUCAGUCCUUUCUAUUCUGUCACCAGCUGCUCUUGCCGGAAAUUUAGGGGAAAAAACAAACACAAAACAAAUAAAAGCCAUGAGUCUAUGCUCCAUUAAAUAUAUUUGACUUUAGCAAAUCUCCUCAUGCUUCAAGUUAAACAGAUCUGCGUACAGAUGGUGAGCCGCCUCCCCACAUAUCUCUUGCUUGCAUGUUGCAACGUUUACUGGCACAAAUUCUUUUCACACAAUCAUAUGUUUCACAACACAGCAAGAAAUUAUUGAGUGUGAGUUAUUCAAAAAGCAAAUUAGGGAACCAUUCCUGCUGUUAUAUCUCCAGAUGUAACUACUCAUGAGCCUGAUAUUGGAAAACUAGGUGCACAUUUCACAGACACAGAGCAACAUUAAUAUUCAUCCAGAGUUAGUGCUUGUGGCCACUUUUCAAAUGGAAGUCCAAUAUUCACUCUGUCUUUUUAUCCUUCUGGACUCCACCGGUUUCAUAAACAGGGUACGCACGAAAUGUCUGCUAUGUUUAUAAAGAGCUAUUCAGCUCAAAGGGCAGAUGAUGAAAGCGGUGACAUGGAUACAUAUACGAAUAAACCAAAAAUAAUGAGCUCAGAGAGACUCAAAAGCUCCAUGUGGCAGCAGUGUUAGGUGAUACUCCUGUGUGGAUUUAUCAGUAAAGGGCCCUUUUACAGGACUCAAAGUCAUUUGAUUAAUUAAAGGGCUAUUACAUGCAGCUUUAAGCACAAUUUUCAAUGCAGGGUUUCUGCUUGGUAUUGAUUUUUCUCCUGUGAUGCAUUCACUUAAGCACAGGAUCUGAAUACUUUUUCUGUCACUGAAUGUUGUGACAUACGGAACGACAUCUUGAGUUGAUAUUUGUGCAUCUGUGCUGAUAGCAUUUCCUGUUUUCUUUAAAGGACGAUAAAGACCAAAACACUCUUUAAAGCCUAAUGUCAUCUAUAUUUUGUGCAGCAUGAAAACCCUCCAUGCAUCCGCUUUGAAAUGAGCAUCUGCUGAACAACAUAUUGUCAGUGUACCAUGGAAGAAACAUCGGAAACAAAAUCCCCUGAUGAUUGCUGUUAAAAGUGGAAGUUGGCUUGUUUUACUGUUACGCUUUGUUUGAGUUUUUAGCGUCUCUGUUGACAAGAAGAAAAACACUGUUCAAGGACAAGCAGGCCAUCUGUGGCAAAGUUUGCCGUGUUCGACGUACAAAACCACUGACCACUAAAUGAACUAACAUCAUUUCCGUCUGUCUUCCUUUCCACUGAAAAUAAAUGUGUUAUAAUGCAGACAGACUUUGAGCUCAAGGCACAAAUUAGCAGGACACUGGCAUCAGACAACAGCAGUGCAAGACUGCAAAGAAAAUACUAGCAAUGGAGCUUCUUGCAAUCAACAAGAUCUGUUUGUGUGAGACUUUAAAAAUAUGUGUUGAUGCAUCUGUUUUUGGAUUUCUAUUGCAUAUGUUACUGUUGUUUUUCCACAGUGUUUGUGUUCUCCUUGGUUGCUUGGACAGUGUCUUGUUGAUAUAAUUAUGUCAAAUGCUAUUAGACUGAAGACCAGAAUUAUGUUUUGAUGGUAUGAGUGUGUAUCUGUGGAGAACACACACACACACAGCUGGAAGAUCACACAAGUAUAACCUGUAACUUUGGUGUGAAGAUACAUGCUUUCUAGAAAAUUAUGUGUGGACUACUCAAAACAUAAAGAUGUAAACUUAAGGUAUUAUAACUUUUAAAAUAUAGCAGAAACAUAACAUAGAUAAUGAUAUAAUAUGCAUGAAAUCUAUCACAAAAUAAUAAGUGUAAGAUGUGGAGCAGAAAGGUUGAACAUGUCUGGGCAUGUGAUAAUGAUAAUGAUAACCUAAUGGGCUACAGGUUGAAAUGCGUCAACCUGACGUCAUGAUCUGACCAGUAGAUUUAGAAAAGCAUGCUGGUGUCAAAACUGUCACUGCCAUCAAACUCUCACAGCAUAAAAGAUGACGCACAGCUCAGUAUCUCUGGUUUUUCUUGUGGUGUUUAUCACUGCUGAGAACUACUCCAGGAUUUUUGUCGACAAUAAAUCCUGCUGCCUCCGAA